AACGAACGCUGGCGGCAUGCCUAACACAUGCAAGUCGAACGAUGCUUUCGGGCAUAGUGGCGCACGGGUGCGUAACGCGUGGGAAUCUGCCCUUGGGUUCAGAAUAACCGUUGGAAACGACGGCUAAUACCGGAUGAUGUCGAUAAGACCAAAGAUUUAUCGCCUGAGGAUGAGCCCGCGUAGGAUUAGCUAGUUGGUGUGGUAAGAGCGCACCAGGGCGACGAUCCUUAGCUGGUCGGAGAGGAUGAUCAGCCACACUGGGACUGAGACACGGCCCAGACUCCUACGGGAGGCAGCAGUGGGGAAUAUUGGACAAUGGGCGCAAGCCUGAUCCAGCAAUGCCGCGUGAGUGAUGAAGGCCUUAGGGUUGUAAAGCUCUUUUACCCGGGAUGAUAAUGACAGUACCGGGAGAAUAAGCUCCGGCUAACUCCGUGCCAGCAGCCGCCGUAA
rnacentral:rRNA from 1 species